UAGGUAUCGUAUAAUAUUGUAAAAAUUAUGUUGAUAAUUAUGUUGACGGCAGACAGGGUUGAGGGUGAGCUGCAGUGCUAUCGGCGGCGGCGACAUUUUGGGAACAACGGAAACCGAGGAGCAACAGUGACUUCCGGAAUGGAUUGAUAUCGUCGGUUCGGGUAAAAGUGAUGUAAUAUCUGUUAACCAAAAAAAGGUAAUUUGUGGUGAUCAUUUUGAGGACAGUUGUUCGAGUCCGGGCACAAAACAUCUCAAAGCAAAUGCCUAUCCGACAUUGAAUCUACCAGGUAAACAUUUAGUACAUCAAAUGUCGAAAAAUUAAUAAAGUUGCUGAUCUUAAAGUAUCUUGCUCUGAAAUUCAACAUUUAGAGAUGAUUAUUAAAGACUGAUAAAACUGAGUACAUGUCUUCAAUUGCUGCUGUGGUCCAAGUUAAUGAACUAAAUGUAUCUAGCUCUGAACUUUUUGAUAAUAAAUUUCAAAACAC